rnacentral:tRNA from 1 species
GGAGUGUUGGCUCAGUCAGUAGAGCGUCCGGCUCACAACCGGGAGGUCGUGGGUUCGAACCCCGGUCGCGUCA